GUCCUCUUGUAUAUAUAUGAGGUCUGACCUGCCCAGUGAAUAUUUAACGGCCGCGGUAUUUUGACCGUGCAAAGGUAGCAUAAUCAUUAGCCUUUUAAUAGAAGGCUGGAAUGAAAGGUUCAACGAAUCAUUAGCUGUCUCACUUAUAUAAUUUAUAACUUAAUUUUUAAGUUAAAAAGCUUAAAUUUUAUUGAAGGACGAGAAGACCCUAUAGAGCUUUACAUUUUAUUUUUUAAUAUUUUAUUGAUAAAUAAAUAUAUAUUAAAAAUAUAAUGUUUUGUUGGGGUGAUAAAAUUAUAUAGUAAACUUUUUUAUUUUGAUAACAAAUAUACUUGGUUAGUUGAUCCAUUAUUAUUGAUUAAUAGAUUAAGUUACCUUAGGGAUAACAGCGUAAUCUUCUUUUGGAGUUCGAAUUUACAAGAAGGCUUGCGACCUCGAUGUUGGAUUAAGAUAAUAAUUUGGUGUAGUAGUUAAAUUAAUAGGUCUGUUCGACCUUUAAAAUCUU
rnacentral:rRNA from 1 species